rnacentral:lncRNA from 1 species
AGCUCGGCGGGGUGCGGCUAGUGGCGGAGCGCGCUGCGAGGGGAGGGCUUUCCACUGUCGCUGGCGUGAACUCGCGUGCCCGGUGGGUAUCAGGGAAGAACCCCCGCCCCGGACCCCCAGAUCUGCCAUGGCCGAGGUAGCGAUCGUCUCUGCGGCCACGAAGACUGUUUUAACUUGUACCACUUUCCCUUCCAUUUUUCCUGGGGUGCCUCUCACCCUGCAUCUGCGCGUUCAGCAAGCUGGAUUUCGGGAAUGCUCAGUUCAGAAGAGAAAAAAUUGCCGGGAAUCAAGUCCUUCUUUUUGUUAGUCGGUAGUCGAUUGAUGGGAAGUGUUCAAAAUCAUUCGAUGUGGUGACAAGGCUUCACCAGGUACUGCCUUCUAACGAGCUGGCCAUUUCCACAUGUCAGAUAGGACCAACUUGCCUUUUAACUACCCGUGUGAUACUUAAACACUGUUGCCGGUAUCACAGCUUUUCUUCAAAACAGGUAAUAUUAGGGACACUUGAAAUUUGGGAAUUAGAUUUACCUUUGCUGUUACUAAAUAAUUGUUAGAAUUUUAAAUGUCAUAUUCAUUUUACUCAACUAAUCUCUUUAGCUUUCCUAUUUAUAUUCCUACUUAUGAUUACGUGUAAUUCUCAUUGGAAGGAUUAAAAUAUUUUGAAAGUAAGACAGUAAAAUUGUGAAAUACUUUGGUAUUGGUUACAAAACAGUACUUAGGUACCUUCUUCCUGAUUUUUCUGUAUUUUUAAAAAAUAAGGCCAGGCACAGUGGCAAAUGCUUAUAUUCCCAACUGCCCAGUAAGCUGAAGCAAGAGAAUUGCUUGAGCCCAACCUGGGCAACAUAGUGAAACCCCAGUCACCAAUUAAAAACAAACAAACAAAAAGAGUAUAUUUUUUGAAGAUA